CAUGCAAGUCGAACGAUGAUGCCCAGCUUGCUGGGUGGAUUAGUGGCGAACGGGUGAGUAACACGUGAGUAACCUGCCCCUGACUCUGGGAUAAGCGUUGGAAACGACGUCUAAUACUGGAUAUGAUCACUGGCCGCAUGGUCUGGUGGUGGAAAGAUUUUUUGGUUGGGGAUGGACUCGCGGCCUAUCAGCUUGUUGGUGAGGUAAUGGCUCACCAAGGCGACGACGGGUAGCCGGCCUGAGAGGGUGACCGGCCACACUGGGACUGAGACACGGCCCAGACUCCUACGGGAGGCAGCAGUGGGGAAUAUUGCACAAUGGGCGAAAGCCUGAUGCAGCAACGCCGCGUGAGGGAUGACGGCCUUCGGGUUGUAAACCUCUUUUAGUAGGGAAGAAGCGAAAGUGACGGUACCUGCAGAAAAAGCACCGGCUAACUACGUGCCAGCAGCCGCGGUAAUACGUAGGGUGCAAGCGUUGUCCGGAAUUAUUGGGCGUAAAGAGCUCGUAGGCGGUUUGUCGCGUCUGCUGUGAAAUCCCGAGGCUCAACCUCGGGCUUGCAGUGGGUACGGGCAGACUAGAGUGCGGUAGGGGAGAUUGGAAUUCCUGGUGUAGCGGUGGAAUGCGCAGAUAUCAGGAGGAACACCGAUGGCGAAGGCAGAUCUCUGGGCCGUAACUGACGCUGAGGAGCGAAAGCAUGGGGAGCGAACAGGAUUAGAUACCCUGGUAGUCCAUGCCGUAAACGUUGGGCGCUAGAUGUAGGGACCUUUCCACGGUUUCUGUGUCGUAGCUAACGCAUUAAGCGCCCCGCCUGGGGAGUACGGCCGCAAGGCUAAAACUCAAAGGAAUUGACGGGGGCCCGCACAAGCGGCGGAGCAUGCGGAUUAAUUCGAUGCAACGCGAAGAACCUUACCAAGGCUUGACAUACACCGGAAACGGCCAGAGAUGGUCGCCCCCUUGUGGUCGGUGUACAGGUGGUGCAUGGUUGUCGUCAGCUCGUGUCGUGAGAUGUUGGGUUAAGUCCCGCAACGAGCGCAACCCUCGUUCUAUGUUGCCAGCGGGUUAUGCCGGGGACUCAUAGGAGACUGCCGGGGUCAACUCGGAGGAAGGUGGGGAUGACGUCAAAUCAUCAUGCCCCUUAUGUCUUGGGCUUCACGCAUGCUACAAUGGCCGGUACAAAGGGCUGCGAUACCGUAAGGUGGAGCGAAUCCCAAAAAGCCGGUCUCAGUUCGGAUUGAGGUCUGCAACUCGACCUCAUGAAGUCGGAGUCGCUAGUAAUCGCAGAUCAGCAACGCUGCGGUGAAUACGUUCCCGGGCCUUGUACACACCGCCCGUCAAGUCAUGAAAGUCGGUAACACCCGAAGCCGGUGGCCUAACCCUUGUGGAAGGAGCCGUCGAAGGUGGGAUCGGUGAUUAGGA
rnacentral:rRNA from 1 species